UACGUAGGGACCGAGCGUUGUCCGGAAUCAUUGGGCGUAAAGAGCGUGUAGGCGGCCACUUAAGUCUUGCGUGAAAUCUUGCGGCUCAACCGCAAGCGGUCGUGGGAAACUGGGUGGCUAGAGUGCGGGAGAGGUGAGUGGAACUCCGAGUGUAGAGGUGAAAUUCGUAGAUAUUCGGAAGAACACCAGUGGCGAAGGCGGCUCACUGGCCCGGUACUGACGCUGAUGUGCGAAAGCGUGGGGAGCAAACAGG
rnacentral:rRNA from 1 species